AAAUAAAAGAUGAAGAUGAAGAUAAAGAUGCAGUUUAACAACAUUCAGCUCCAAAGUAUUUCCUGAUUGCAUCAAAGCUGUUAACAGUGUGGAAAAAACCAGAAAGUUUCUGUAAAUAAAAGCAAACUAAAUCUGUUUCAGGCUGAAUGACGUCUGCAGAACUAAACUACAUUAUUCACAGAAACAUGAUGCCUUUAACCUUCUUCCAGCAGACACUGUGAACAUAGAGGAGGUCAGGACUUCAGCAGCACGUUUAGGAAAAGACCAAACAUCUAUUGCUGGUGUCCUUCAUCAGGAUCAUCAACAUUCCUGGAGUCCUGACCUCCUGCCUUUGUUAAAAUCCUUGAGUCAGCUUUUCUAAGGCCUCUGUUCUUGACUCUCACUUCCCACUUCCCUGUCGACCUUUCACUGCAUUUCUCUGAUAAGGACACAAAACCCCCGACUUCUUCUGCCUUCUCCUAAAGUCAAGCUCAACCACAGCGUCUUUAUGCUCUCCAAGCAUCUUGGAGGGUGUUUCUGUCCUCUAACUUGUGAUUUUACUUCAUCAUCACAUGAUUUCAGGCGUUAUUUUGAAGAAACAAAGUAAAAAAAGAGGAAAGGAAAGUUUCUACAUGAAUUUUUCCAAAUCCAUGGCAGAGAAACUGAGUUUUGCUUUGUCUAAACGUGUCAAUGUGUCCAUCAGGAUCUUUUUCCAAUAUUACUCCAAGGUUUUUAUCAUUCAUGGGAUCAGAGGAAGGUCAUCAGCUGUUUCAGCUUCAUUGAAAACAUGGAAAUAUUAAGUGUGACACAAAGCUGACUGUAACGUCUCCCUAAGUUUGCAAACUGAUUUUGGGAGAAACUUUCGCUCAAAUGGAUGUGAGCCGUAAACUGUCACCCGACACCCUGAAGGAGGAACGUCAUCAAACAGGAAUGAUUAGAAUCUACUGCAGGAGAAGGAGGAGAGCCUCCGCUUCCUGCUGCUGCUGCUGAGUGGAUGCAGGUAGCGUGUGAGCAGACCGAGGUGGCGUGCAGACUCUGCAUGUGUGCGUGCAAUGUUUCCACGCCACUCAUCCACGUCAUCAUCACAACGUCUCAAUCUACACGUCUGCUGGAGGAACGCUUCCUGAUGCUCCAGCAGCUCUGCUCAGACCAAAGCUUUAAAACAGCAGGAGCUCUUCAGUGAUUUCUAGUGCAGGAAAUCCUGGAACCAGAGGAAAGAGUCUCGCUGAUGAACCGCCAGGAACUAAACUCUAGCUGCUGUUAAUGAGACUGAUGUUACAAAUCAACUGUUUCACGGAUUAAAGCUUCUACAACUAAUUGUGUAAAAUCCAUUACAGCUGUGAUGUCAGUGAUGGAGUCCACAGAAGGACAGGCCAGAAUGUCAGCGUUCAGCAGCAGCAGCUCUCUGUGGAAACAUCAAACCAUGUCUGUUUACCUCCACAGCAACCAUUUCAUCACACAGACUCAGCAUUAAACGGCUCAGGUGUAAACAGGCAGCAUUUUGCCAAAGGUCAAAGGUCCUUCGUUACCUGCAGGCCUUCACCUGAUUGGUCCUGGGCUCCUGGUCUUCAUGCUCCUGCAGGCUCAGCGUGAUGCAGACCAACUGGUUCAGAUCAGGAAGUCCGAGGAAGAACAACGGCUUGGAGCUGACUCGGUUCAUCUUGCAGG